rnacentral:rRNA from 1 species
AUGCAUCUGAGCGAGAACGUGGGGAUCGAGGAAGUGUGGUUUAUGAUGACUAGCGGGCAGGGCUUCGCCGGCGUUGCCAUAUGUCUGGAGCUGAUCCGCCGUGAUGCGCUGGAGGUCUGCUCCCUCGAUCUGCUUGAUUCAUCCUCCUGGUCACGUCGGCGUCAACUUCUUCAAGGCAAUGAUUCGAAGUAG